CUCUGUGACUUGUAUCUGAGCUGGUUCCCAGUAAAGUCUGAACUGGGACUGUGUGUGAUGCAGAGAGACUUUAAACCAGAGCCAGACGUCGUCUACUCUUCACUGAAGUAGUCCACCAGUCCAACCACUGACGUCCAGCUGCUGGUCUCUAACUGGUCCCCCCAGCACCUCAGACCAGAG